GACGAACGCUGGCGGCGUGCUUAACACAUGCAAGUCGAACGCAGUGGCGAACGGGUGAGUAACGCGUAAUCAACCUGCCCUUCAGAGGGGGACAACAGUUGGAAACGACUGCUAAUACCGCAUACUGCAGGCGGGGCUUGCGUCUGAGUAGCUAGUUGGAGGGGUAACGGCCCACCACGGCGAUGAACAGUAGCCGGGCUGAGAGGAUGAACGGCCACAUUGUGACUGAGACGCGGCCCAGACUCCUACGGGAGGCAGCAGUGGUGAAGCUUCCGCAAUGGACGAAAGUCUGACGGAGCAACGCCGCGUGAGUGAUGACGGCCUUCGGGUUGUAAAGCUCUGUUAAUCGGGACGCGGUACCGGAAUAGAAAGCCACGGCUAACUACGUGCCAGCAGCCGCGGUAAUUC
rnacentral:rRNA from 1 species